UCCCUGGUGGUCCAGUAGCUAGGACUUUGUGCUCCCAACGCAGGGGGCCUCAGUUCGAUCCCUGGUCAGGGAA
rnacentral:tRNA from 1 species